rfam:Nicotiana attenuata strain TT scaffold02790, whole genome shotgun sequence.
UAGAGAAGAGCUUGUCACGUAGACAAGGAAACCUGCCUGAAACCAAGAAAGGAAAGUACCAUUUGUAAAAAUCUUUUCCAAGUGGUGCAGGCAAGUCAUCCUUGGCUUCCAAAUAAGACUCCUCUCA